GCGGCAGGCCUAACACAUGCAAGUCGAGCGGAGCGGCGGACGGGUGAGUAAUGCCUAGGAAUCUGCCUGGUAGUGGGGGACAACGUUUCGAAAGGAACGCUAAUACCGCAUACUAUCAGAUGAGCCUAGGUCGGAUUAGCUAGUUGGUGGGGUAAAGGCCUACCAAGGCGACGAUCCGUAACUGGUCUGAGAGGAUGAUCAGUCACACUGGAACUGAGACACGGUCCAGACUCCUACGGGAGGCAGCAGUGGGGAAUAUUGGACAAUGGGCGAAAGCCUGAUCCAGCCAUGCCGCGUGUGUGAAGAAGGUCUUCGGAUUGUAAAGCACUUUAAGUUGGGAGGCGUUACCAACAGAAUAAGCACCGGCUAACUUCGUGCCAGCAGCCGCGGUAAUACGAAGGGUGCAAGCGUUACUCGGAAUUACUGGGCGUAAAGCGUGCGUAGGUGGUCGUUUAAGUCCGUUGUGAAAGCCCUGGGCUCAACCUGGGAACUGCAGUGGAUACUGGGCGACUAGAAUGUGGUAGAGGGUAGCGGAACUCCUGGUGUAGCAGUGAAAUGCGUAGAG
rnacentral:rRNA from 1 species